GACGUAGGGCGCGAGCGUUGUCCGGAUUUAUUGGGCGUAAAGAGCUCGUAGGCGGCUUGUCGCGUCGACUGUGAAAUCCCGAGGCUCAACUUCGGGCUUGCAGUCGAUACGGGCAGGCUAGAGUUCGGUAGGGGAGACUGGAAUUCCUGGUGUAGCGGUGAAAUGCGCAGAUAUCAGGAGGAACACCGGUGGCGAAGGCGGUUCUCUGGGCCUUACCUGACGCUGAGGAGCGAAAGCGUGGGGAGCGAACAGG
rnacentral:rRNA from 1 species